AUUGAACGCUGGCGGCAGGCCUAACACAUGCAAGUCGAACGAGUGGCGGACGGGUGAGUAAUGUCUGGGAAACUGCCUGAUGGAGGGGGAUACCUACUGGAAACGGUAGCUAAUACCGCAUACCAUCAGAUGUGCCAAGAUGGGAUUGGCUGGUUGGUGGGGUAACGGCGCACCAAGGCGACGAUCCCUAGCUGGUUUGAGAUGAUGACCAGCCACACUGGAACUUAGACACGGUCCAGACUCAUACGGGAUGCAGCAGUGGGGAAUAUUGCAAAAGGGGCGCAAGCCUGAUGCAGCCAUGCCGCGUGUAUGAAGAAGGCCUGCGGGUUGUAAAGUACUUUCAGCGGGGAGGCGUUACCCGCAGAAGAAGCACCGGCUAACUCCGUGCCAGCAGCCGCGGUAAUUC
rnacentral:rRNA from 1 species